rnacentral:rRNA from 1 species
GCGAAGUCGGGGCAGGGAGCGGGGGUAAGACGGGGGGGGGGAGCGUUAAUCGGAAUUACGGGGUGUAAAGGGUGCGUAGGUGGCGAGUUAAGUUAGAUGUGAAAGCCCGGGGCUCAACCUCGGGACUGCAUUUAAAACUGGCUUGCUAGAAUACAGGAGAGGUAAGUGGAAUUCCUAGUGUAGCGGUGAAAUGCGUAGAUAUUAGGAGGAACACCAGUGGCGAAGGCGACUUACUGGACUGUUAUUGACACUGAGGCACGAAAGCGUGGGGAGCGAACAGGAUUAGAUACCCUUGUAGUC